rnacentral:misc_RNA from 1 species
GAUGAAGAACGCAGCGAAAUGCGAUAAGUAAUGUGAAUUGCAGAAUUCAGUGAAUCAUCGAAUCUUUGAACGCACCUUGCACUCCUUGGUAUUCCGAGGAGUACGCCUGUUCGAGUGUUAUGAAGCUCUCAAAACGCAAUUGGCUUAAAACCUGAUUGUUGUUUUGGAUUUGAACUUUGCCGUGUUAUAACGGCUGGUUUUAAAAGUAUUAGCUGGUACUAGAACGAAUUGGUUCUACUCAACGUGAUAAUUAUCUGAUCGUUGAGGACAUUGCUUUCACGAGGAAUGGCCAUAGUAAAUUCAAUGGACUGCUUCUAAUCUGGCUUUAAUUCUUUAUUGGAUUAACCACUUUUCAAAUCUGACCUCGAAUCAGGUGGGACUACCCGCUGAACUUAAGCAUAUCAUAAGCGGAGGA